rnacentral:rRNA from 1 species
GAGAGUUAAACAGUACGUGAAAUUGUUGAAAGGGAAACGAUUGAAGCCAGUCGUACCUUCGGGUAAUCAGCCUUUCGGGUGCGAUUCUGUGGAGUUUGAGGAGCUUAACACCUUCAUGCUUUUGCAUAUUCGUGCUCUUGGGUGUACUUGCCCGUGUGGUUGGUUAACAUCAAUUUCGGGCACCAUAAAAUGGCUGGAGGAAUGUAGCUUCGAUCUUGUAUUGAAGUGUUAUAGCCUUCGGUAGAUGUGGUGAUCGAGAUUGAGGAUUGCAACGGAUACCUUUCGGGGCUACCUGUCUGAUCUCUGAUUGUUGCUUUGGUGCUGAAAGCUUGCUUAUGGUUAUCAAAGUCGAUGGUCAAUAGGUUAGAAUGGGUUAAAUUCGUUAAGGAUGUUGACGUAAUGGCUUUAAACGA